GACGAACGCUGGCGGCGUGCUUAACACAUGCAAGUCGAACGGAAAGGCCCUGCUUUUGUGGGGUGCUCGAGUGGCGAACGGGUGAGUAACACGUGAGUAACCUGCCCUUGACUUUGGGAUAACUUCAGGAAACUGGGGCUAAUACCGGAUAGGAGCUCCUGCUGCAUGGUGGGGGUUGGAAAGUUUCGGCGGUUGGGGAUGGACUCGCGGCUUAUCAGCUUGUUGGUGGGGUAGUGGCUUACCAAGGCUUUGACGGGUAGCCGGCCUGAGAGGGUGACCGGCCACAUUGGGAGUGAGAUACGGCCCAGACUCCUACGGGAGGCAGCAGUGGGGAAUAUUGCACAAUGGGCGGAAGCCUGAUGCAGCAACGCCGCGUGCGGGAUGACGGCCUUCGGGUUGUAAACCGCUUUCGCCUGUGACGAAGCGUGAGUGACGGUAAUGGGUAAAGAAGCACCGGCUAACUACGUG
rnacentral:rRNA from 1 species